GAUAUCCUGCCAUCUAUCUACUUGUUAUGGAUUCUUGUUUUGUUUCUUAGCCUCAUUUGGAAUUGUUUUGGAAGUCAUCUGUUUUCCUAGCUCGAUCUCUGUUUUGAUAAUCGUUAGUAUGACUUAUGAGUCUUCACUAAAAAGAAAUCCUAGUUUCUAGUUGCUUGGUCCAAGUCUUUGUAUGAUGGCAUAAAGUGGUUAUAUAUUUGUGUUUAUCUUGCAUUGUUUAGGUAGUGAAAUACACAUACAUAGCAUUAUUGGACGUUUUCAUGAUCAUGCUUAUCAUUGGUUCGAGAUUAGUUUUGGCCAUUUUCUAGGUUGGAUUGCCA
rnacentral:misc_RNA from 1 species